CGGCUCAGUAACACGUAGUCAAUCUACCCUAUGGACGGAGAUAAUCUCGGGAAACUGAGAAUAAUAUCCGAUAGAACAUUAUGCCUGGAAUGGUUUAUGUUUCAAAUGAUUUAUCGCCAUAGGAUGGGACUGCGUCCUAUCAGUUUGUUGGUGAGGUAAUGGCCCACCAAGACUAUUACAGGUACGGGCUCUGAGAGGAGUAGCCCGGAGAUGGGUACUGAGACACGGACCCAGGCCCUAUGGGGCGCAGCAGGCGAGAAAACUUUGCAAUGUGCGAAAGCACGACAAGGUUAAUCCGAGUGGUUUCUGCUAAAGAAACCUUUUGUCAGUCCUAGAAACACUAACGAAUAAGGGGUGGGCAAGUUCUGGUGUCAGCCGCCGCGGUAAAACCAGCACCUCAAGUGGUCAGGAUGAUUAUUGGGCCUAAAGCAUCCGUAGCUUGCUUUGUAAGUUCUCGGUUAAAUCCAUACGCUUAACGUAUGGGCUGCCGGCAAUACUGCAAAGCUAGGGAGUGGGAGAGGUAGACGGUACUCGGUAGGAAGGGGUAAAAUCCUUUGAUCUAUUGAUGACCACCUGUGGCGAAGGCGGUCUACCAGAACACGUCCGACGGUGAGGGAUGAAAGCUGGGGGAGCAAACCGGAUUAGAUACCCGGGUAGUCCCAGCUGUAAACUAUGC
rnacentral:rRNA from 1 species